rnacentral:rRNA from 1 species
GACGAACGCUGGCGGCGUGCCUAACACAUGCAAGUUGAGCGACGAACCAGGGCUUGCCCUGGGGCAAAGCAGCGAACGGGUGAGUAACACGUGGGUAACCUACCCCGAUGACCGGGACAACCCGAGGAAACUCGGGCUAAUACCGGAUGUGCUCUCUGAACUUCGGUUCAGUGCGUAAAGGAAGCUUCGGCCUCCGCAUCGGGAGGGGCCCGCGGCCCAUUAGUUUGUUGGUGAGGUAACGGCUCACCCAGACCGCGAUGGGUAGCUGGUCUGCUAGGACGAUCAGCCACACUGGGACGGAGACACGGCCCAGACUCCUACGGGAGGCAGCAGUGGGGAAUCUUGCGCAAUGCGCGAAAGCGUGACGCAGCAACGCCGCGUGGGGGAAGAAGGCCUUCGGGUUGUAAACCCCUUUCAGGAGGGACGAAGGUUCGGCGGUGAAUAGCCGUCCGGACUGACGGUACCUCCACAAGAAGCCCCGGCUAACUACGUGCCAGCCGCCGCAGUAACAC